UUCUGGCUCAGGAUGAACGCUGGCGGCAGGCUUAAUACAUGCAAGUUGAACGGUAGCAUGUUGUAGCAAUACGAUGAUGACGAGUGGCGCACGGGUGCGUAACACGUGUGUAACCUACCUUAUACAGGAACAUAACGUUGAGAAAUCGGCGCUAACAUUCCAUAAUAUUAUUUGUAGGCAUCUAUGAAUAAUUAAAACUCCGGUGGUAUAAGAUGGGCACGCGUUCCAUUAGCUAGUUGGUAAGGUAACGGCUUACCAAGGCAACGAUGGAUAGGGGUUCUGAGAGGAUAAUCCCCCACACUGGAACUGAGACACGGUCCAGACUCCUACGGGAGGCAGCAGUAAGGAAUAUUGGGCAAUGGAGGCAACUCUGACCCAGCCAUGCCGCCGUGCAGGAAGACGGCCCUAUGGGUUGUAAACUGCUUUUAAUAGGGAUUAAAGUCGACUACGUGUAGUUGUUUGCAAGUACCUAUAGAAUAGGCAUCGGCUAACUCCGUGCCAGCCGCAGC
rnacentral:rRNA from 1 species